GCAGCACCCUGGGGAGGGGGGGAGGGGAGGGGAGGAGAGGGGCUAAGCCAGGUGAGCAUCAGACCCUGGAGAACAUGCCAAGUUCAAGGCUUUUCUUCUCAUCUCCAAGCCCCAUCACUUACAGGGGGAUCUGUGUGUCCAUGUGGGUGAGGCCUCUGGCAGCCUCUGCACCCAGGCAGGUUGGGCGAGGGGGGAUCCUAGGAGCCCCCAGGAGCUGGGAUGGAGGCAGAGCAGCCUGGAUCGAGGCCCCGGAGAGCCUGCUGUGGCCUUCCUGUGAGAGGGCUCUGCUGCUGUG